UCAAAUAAAAUAAAAUACAGACCCUGUAUGUAUUUUUCCCCUUUCUCUCUCUUUUCCUCUCACCUUCUCUCUCCCUCUCUCUCUAACCCUAAUAACGGAGUUGCCAGUCACGGUCGUCACCUGCCAGUCACGCUCGCCGCCGUCUGCCAUUGCCGUCGCCGUCCACGGCCUUUUCCCUUUCUCUGUCUUUUGAUCUGACGUUUUCUCUCCCCCUCUCUCUAACCCUAAUAACGCCGCCUGCUAGUCACCGUCGCCACCUGCCCGUCACCGUCGCCGCGGUAUGCCGUCGCCGUCGCCGGCCUAUUUGUCAAUUUGAGAUCUAGUAGUAGUCGGAAUGCGUAGCUAGCUCCUCAGCAUCAGUCAGCCUAAUGUAUGAUGGGAAGGGAAUUAACAAAAGUAGCGCUUUCUUUUUCAUGAAUGAAUUGUGUUUUUAUUACCUUUGGUAGGUUGUUGUUCUUGUCGCUGCUUCGUUGGGCACGCCCGCCAGGCAGUACUACUUCUUCAGGGCUUAGCCUUUAUAAAGAAUCAAUAUCAACAUUCAAAGGCGGAGUUUCUUCGUACUCAGCCACCCGACACACAGGUGACAGAAGAACAAAUGGAGGAAAGGUGGCUUGAGAGUGUUGGUGGUCCCACUAGUUUAAUGUUUUGUGGAUGUUUGCAAAGGUUGUGAAGUAGUUUAAUGUUGUGUAGAUGUUUGCGAAUGUUGAAGUAGCUUAAUGUCUCUUCGGAAUGUUUGAAUGACGUUUUGAUUUAACUUUGAAGUAGUUUCGAAUUGAAUUUGACGUAUUGUUGGUUGUAAUAUAUGUGUUUGUUGAAGUAGCUUAAUGUUUUAUGUUUUUCAGUACUUUGGUGAAUUGUUGGUAGCUAUUUGAGCCGGUUUUAGUUGAAUAUAAAAUUGUUUCAUCUUGA